GGGUAUAUAGCUCAGUGGUUAGAGUUUAGGUCUCGUAAUCAGAAGGUCCAGCAGUGGGACUCCGGAUCGAAUCCCGCUAGAGGCA
rnacentral:tRNA from 1 species